UACGGGGGGGGCAAGCGUUGUUCGGAAUUACUGGGCGUAAAGGGCGCGUAGGCGGCCUGCUAAGUCGGACGUGAAAUCCCUCGGCUCAACCGAGGAACUGCGUCCGAUACUGGUGGGCUUGAAUCCGGGAGAGGGAUGUGGAAUUCCAGGUGUAGCGGUGAAAUGCGUAGAUAUCUGGAGGAACACCGGUGGCGAAGGCGGCAUCCUGGACCGGUAUUGACGCUGAGGAGCGAAAGCCAGGGGAGCAAACGGG
rnacentral:rRNA from 1 species